rnacentral:lncRNA from 1 species
AAGUCGGUGAUGUUGAGGCCGAACCCACUGGGAACUUUGUUGUAGUUCUCACCCCACUAUUUCCACAGAGCCGGGACCGAGCGAGCCGGCGAGCGACCGCGGUAAAGGUAUCGCGCCUUAGACAGAGGCCACCGAUGUUGGGUUACAUUUUGUUAGUAGACACCCUUUAAUCAUCUUUUGUACUUGAUGAUUAGUGAUGUAAUGAAAAGAAUGUAAAGCUUAUUUUGAGGUAAAUGUGUUGUAAGAAAGAAAUGAUGGAAUUAUGUAAUGAAAUGCAAAGAAUCUUAAAUGUAAGAGAUGGAUGCAAUGUAUAUGAUCUAAAAUGAAUCAUAUUACUUGUGAAUGUUUAGUUUUCCUUUUUCUUUCACUUAUGGCUACUGCUUACCCUCGAGUAAGCCGUUGUGUAUGUUUCCGCUAGUGCUUUUCUCUAUUGUUGAAAAUGUGCAUGUGAUGAGCCUUGGGCGGAUAGGGGAAACUCUGUCCGUUCGGCGUCUAUUUGACGUGCUCGGGUCGGACCAAAUUGGCAGCGGUCCCGGGGCGUGACACUAACUCUAUGUCACAAUGUGAUAACCCAACACUCACUUGCUUAGUGCCUCUUUAUGACACUUAAGCACCACAACUAAUAAAGCCCAAAUCAUGUUCUAUGUUCUCAUUUAUUACACUAAUACCAAUGCCCACUAAGGUCGGAGCCUAAUGCCUCUUUAUGACAUUGGCCCAAAAUCUCAAAUAGUCUAAGUCCCCAAGCCUAUCUAGGCUUCCAAAAUCCCUAAUAUCACAAUUGGGCAUGAAGAUUAAAUGCAUGGAAGUAAUGUUCAUUUUCAUAAUAGGAAUCAUGGUUCCAAGUCUCAACUAGAAUGCUAUAUCUCACAUGUAUGCACUCUGCCACAUAGAGGUCCAAAAAUUUACUAUACAUUACAUAGGCAUGUUAAGCAUUCUAAAAUUCACAAUAAAUAUAUCUAACAUGAUUACGCAUAUUUUAUCAUUUAACGAUACUCAAAACAUCACAAAUGAGAUUUUCUCAUUGUGUGGCUAGGUCAAAUCCACCGAACCGUCGCGUAGUCCCUCGUUUCGCCGAACGAAGUUGUCCACGAGUCUCAAAAUACCCUAAAAGUUAUGAGCGAAGAGAUACACGGGCAUUACGAUCAACUAUGAGAUCAAACAUUAACCAUCAAGGCAAAAGGACUAAAACUCACCUAAUGAGUAGAAAAUCUCCCUCAAGCUCCUAAAGAGAGCUAGAAUCCUUCCAAUCCAACCAAAAGAAAGAUUCUAAUCCAAUUAAUUUAGCUCCAAAAGCCCUAAAUCAAAAAUACCCAAAAUAAACCCUAAGUCUCCAAUCUAGGGUUUCAUCACAAAACCAUCAAUAAAAAUCCAAUCUAGAAGGAUAGAACAAGUAGAUUACCUUUAGAAGCUUCAAUCCAAGCUCUAAACUCUCCAAGUCCCAAGAUCUCCCCUCAACAAAGCACCAAAACCAAGCUCCAAGCUUCAACAAUGGUGGAAAAGGCUCCAAAAGGCAAAAAGAGGAGUUAAUCCAUAAAAAUCCAAGAAAAAGGAGGAUCAAAUCCAAAGAGAUGAAGGGGAGAGGUGCCCUACCUCCUUCUCCUGUGUUCUCAGCUCAGGGAGAGCUCUAGGGGCCGUGGGGUUACAUAUAGAAGGCCACAAAUGCGAAAAACCCCCUGCAGUUCAAACUGCUCAAAAACUGCCACUGCGUACCGGUACACGGGCCCACGUACCGGUACACAUCCCACGAAAAUGCCAAACCCGAGCCUCGGGUUGGCUGGAAAGCUGCCUGUGUACCGGUACACCAUCCCGUACCGGUACAACCAUCAACCCUGUACCGGUACAGCAAUCAACCCUGUACCGGUACACAACCUAAUGAAGGUUACCCGAGAGCUGACCAAAAAUUCGAUUUUUCGGGUUUUAGCACUAAGUUUUAAACCUCACUUCUCGAGAUUCGAACUAUAGUUCGUAACACUGUCUACGACCCACCAGAAAGUCUGGAAAAGCUCAGGACACUGUCCAAACACUCGAAUCUCACAAUUUGCAAAGGUCCAGUGUGUUACAUUCACCCCUCCUAAAAAGAAGUUUCGUCCGCGAAACUCAAAAGUAAAGUACCUCAAGCCUCCAUCUGAAAAAGAUGGGGAUAACGCUCCCGCAGAGCGCUCUCCAACUUUCAAGUGGCCUCGCGCUCGUUGUGAUUGCUCCAAAGCACCUUCACGUAGGGAAUCUCUCGAUUCCGCAGCCUCUUUACCUCGCGAGCCAAAAUCCUCAAAGGUUGCUCUUCAAAGCUCAGAUUAUCCCUCAGCUCCACUGGUGUAGCGUCCAACACGUGAGUCGAAUCAUGGAUGUAUCUCCGAAGGACCGAUACAUGAAACACAUUGUGCACACCCGAUAGGUUUCGCGGUAGAGCAAGUCGAUACGCUGCCGGGCCUACAUGUUCCAAAACCUCAUAUGGUCCAAUAAAUCGGGGGCUCAACUUGCCCCGGAUCCAAAAUCUCCUAAUCCCUCUGGCCGGCAAGACUUUUAAGAAGACAUGAUCUCCAAUCUAAAACUCCAAGUUUCGUCGACGCUUAUCAGCAUAACUCUUUUGCCUACUCUGGGCUGUCAACAGUCGCUCCCUAGCAAUGCGAACCUUGUCCUCUGCUUCCUGGAGCACGUCGGGGCCUAAAGCCAAUCUCUUGCCAACUUCACUCCAAUGAAGUGGCGAUCUACACUUCCAUCCAUAAAGUGCCUCGAAUGGCGCCAUCUUGAUGCUUGCUUGAUAACUGUUGUUAUAAGCAAACUCUGCCAUUGGUAGAUGUUGCGACCAUCCUCCCUGGAAGUCGAUCACACAAGCUCGAAGCAUGUCCUCAAGUGUCUGUAUAGUGUGCUCUGACUGCCCAUCACUCUGAGGGUGGAAAGCCGUACUGAAGUCCAAGCGCGUGCCCAAGGCAUCCUGUAAGCUCCGCCAAAAGUGAGAUACGAAUCGGGGGUCUCGAUCUGAAACAAUAGAUGUAGGUAGCCCAUGCAAUCGCACAAUCUCAUCCAAGUAUACCUGUGCGAGUCUCUCACCAGUCCAAGUAGUGUGGAUAGGUAUGAAAUGUGCCGAUUUCGUCAAUCUAUCUACGAUCACUCAAAUAGCAUCGUGCCCGGCCUGCGAGCGGAGCAAUCCUAUCACAAAGUCCAUGGUGAUCUUCUCCCAUUUCCACACCGGAAUCGGUAAGCUCUGUAAUUUUCCUGCGGGGACUCGGUGUUCAGCUUUCACCUGUUGGCAAGUUAAACAUCUAGCAACAAACUCACCAACGUCUUUCUUCAUCCCGGGCCACUAAUAAAUCGACUUCAAGUCAUUGUACAUCUUGGUGCCUCCCGGAUGUAUAGUAUACGGUGCUCGGUGUGCCUCUUGAAGAAUUUCUUCUUUAAUGUCCAGAUCCGCCGGUACACAAAUCCGUCCGCGGAAACGCAUCAAUCCCACAUCGUCCACAGAGAAGUCACUCGUGCAACCAUUCAUCAUUUUAGCUCGAAUCCUUUGCAACUCCACGUCGGAGACUUGCUUUUCUUUAAUCCUUUCCGCAAGUGUAGGUUGCACCAUUAAAGUCAUCAAUCUCAAAGGUGUAUCAGGAGCCACCACCUCCAACUCCAACCGCUUCAUCUGCUCGAUCAACGACAGCUGAGUAACCACGAGCAUCGCUAAGUUUUCCGUCGAUUUCCUACUUAGCGCAUCUGCCAUCACAUUAGCCUUGCCUAGGUGGUAAAGAAUAGUCAAGUCAUAAUCCUUGAGUAGCUCCAAUCAUCUGCGCGCUGUCUUAAGUUCAACUCCUUCUGAGUGAAUAAAUAUUUUAAGCUUUUGUGAUCCGUAUACACUUCGCAUCGCUCACCGUACAAGUAGUGGCGCCAUAGUUUCAAUGCAAAGACAACGGCCGCCAAUUCCAAGUCGUGAGUAGGAUAGUUUCUUUUAUAAUCCUUUAGUUGGCGAGAAGCAUACGCGAUCACCUUCCCGUCCUGCAUCAAAACACAUCCCAAUCCAUUAAAGGAAGCAUCACUAUAAAUCACAUACCCUGCUCCAGUAACUGGCAAGGUUAGGAUCGGGGCGGUAGUCAGUCUCUGCUUCAACUCUUGGAAGCUCCGUUCACACGCAUCAUUCCAAACGAACUUGGUGCCUUUAUGCGUGAGCCUCGUGAGGGGAGUAGAUAGCCUCGCAAAUCCCUUAACAAACCGUCGGUAGUAGCCAGCCAAACCAAGAAAGCUCUGAAUCUCCGUGACACUCGUCGGCCUUGGCCAAUCCUUGAUAGCUUCAAUCUUUCUCGGGUCCACGGCUAUGCCUGAUCUUGAAAUCACAUGGCCCAAAAACACCACCUCUCUAAGCCAAAAUUCACACUUCUUCAACUUGGCGUAGAGCUUCUUUUCCCGAAGCACUUGAAGUACAAGCUUUAAAUGCUUUUCGUGAUCCGCAUCACUCCGGGAAUACACUAAGAUGUCGUCGCUGAAUACCACGACGAACCUGUCUAGAUAAGGCUUAAACACACGGUUCAUAAGAUCCAUAAAAGCUGCCGGGGCAUUAGUAAGCCCGAACGACAUCACAGUAAACUCAUAAUGUCCAUACCGUGUUCUAAAAGCCGUCUUUGACACAUCGUCAGGCUUGAUCUUCAACUGGUGAUAUCCCGACUGCAGGUCGAUCUUGGAAUACACACUGGAUCCCUGUAACUGAUCAAAUAGAUCGUCGAUCCUCGGCAAUGGAUACUUGUUUUUAAUCGUGACUUUGUUAAGUUCACGAUAGUACACGCAUAAGCGAAGUGAUCUAUCCUUUUUCUUAACAAACAGGACCGGUGGUCCCCAAGGUGACACACUCGGUCGCACAAAAUUCUUAUCCAAAAGAUCCUGCAACUGUGCCUUCAGCUCUCUCAAUUCUGCUGGUGCCAUCCUAUAGGGCGCUUUUGAGAUUGGAGUAGUCCCGGGAAUGAGAUCUACCACAAACUCAAUCUCCCUAUCAGGUGGCAUGCCUGGAAGCUCUGCUGGGAACACAUCUCCAAACUCCCACACUACGGGGAUAUCCUCAAUCCUGGGGGCAUCAUCAUCACCCCUCAACACAACUGUCACGCCCCGCGACCGCUACCAAUUUGGUUCGGCCCGGGCGCGUCGAACAGACGCCGGACGGACAACACCUCCCCUGUCCGCCCAAGGCUAACGACAAGAUUGUGUACAACAAGUCCCCAGGAAAAUAACUUGAAUACAUACACAAUCGAUAACUACAACGAGAGCACAAUCAGUGCAAAACAACCAAGAGCAAGAUACAAGUAUAGAACAUACAAGUAAUGAUAAAGAGAGAGCAUCUAUCUAUUACAUUCAUUCAGCCUUUAUAAUACAAUUUGAUUAUACAUUGAACUUCCAAAACAUAAUAAAAAGCUUACAUCUUCCAAACUAUAAACAUUAGUUUACAUUUAUCUCAAAAUAGCUCACAACCUAUACAUCAUCUACUCUCAAAGCAUAAAAGGUGACUCUAAUGCAGAAAUAGGAAAGUAGACUAAUGCAACUAGGGCGCUAAGCCUAUUACCGCAUCCUCGCUGUGUGAAUCGCCUCGCUGCUAGUAAAAUGGGGGUGAGAACUAACUUCCUUAGUUCCAGUGGGUUCGGGCCGCCGACAUCACGCGGAUCUCCCACUAUGGCCAAGUCGUGGCACAAGUAGUAAUCAAUAGAUAGAUAGAUAAGAACAGCUAGCGUAAUGACAGAAGUAAACACUCAUCUACUAUCGGCCAAUCAUAAUAUAUGAAAUGAUUCUAAUGAAAUAGGGAUAAGCAACCUACCUUUAUAUGUCCAAAGGUGAAGCUAUUCACUCGUUCAUAAACCUCAUUACUUGUCAUUAAUUUCAUGGCUUACCCGAAGCUCGCCUACAGUCACGUAGCCAUUCUGCGACACCGUAGGGAGAAUUCACUCGCACUACGGACCGAGGACUCUGGCGGGCCAUAUAGGCAUAUCGCCUGGAGUGACCAAACAUCCGUGAGCGCACUACUUGUGUGGGGUUCCAUCACAAGAUUUAAACAGACCGUGAGCAUGAUCAAUUCCUCUAGCUCGGAGGAUCCUGUCGCUCUAGGGGUCCACAUUCAAAAUCAUAUAUCCAUAGGUUUCAUAAUUACACUAUCGACUCACAUGUGUCAUCGUUCUUUGUUUACUAUUCAAUAAUGCCCUCGUUCUCUUACAAGUUCCAAUUCAAGUAGCUAAUACAUUAUAAACUUCAUCCCACUUAUAUCUCAUAUAGCUGGUUCUACAUACAUAUAUAAAGUCAAGAUGCUAGGAUAUAGUAAUACUAAGCCAAAUACAUUUUCACAGAAAUGCACGGUAUAGAAACACAAACCUCAUUUAUCACCCUAUAAUGCAAAUGUCCAAUAUCAAUUUGAUCAAUAUAAAACUUAGACACAUAAAGGGACGCCGUUUGCUUCGGGAUGGACAACACACCCACCUUUUAUAGCGUCGAUGCUCGUCCGGUCACUCACAAUCGCCUCCUGGCGCACGCCGACGGCUCGACCGAACUCCACGCGCGGACUGCCAAAUGACCUCUAUCGCCGAUCCGUCUAUUCUGGAGUUUAUUCCCGACACCCGAUGCUACGAUUCCAUUUCACUGAUUUUUGGAAGUCUUUCGCUGCGGCUGCGUCAAUCUGUGAGCCAGAAUCGGCUCUUCUUCAGAUAUCUUUGUAACGGCUUGACGGAUUGCCAAACGCGCUUCAACGCGUUCAGGGACCUAUCAAUUAGGGUUUAUAUACAACCAAUUAGAUUCAAACCACCAUUCAUUGCAACAAUAGCAUUUUGAGCCUAGAUUUGCGUACUAUGCAAAAUCACCAGUUGAUAUACUUGAUCUAGCAUAUCCCAUCUCAUUAAGCACUAAGGACUACUAAACCAUAUCUAAAGCAUUUAUCACACACUAGAGAUUAUCCAUUGAGGGUUAGAGCAAGCUUACCUCUUAAGCCUUAAGCACAACGUGAGAGAGAAAUGAGAAGAUGAAGUCCACUUGUUUGCUUCCUUCUUCAACACUUCUCUUCUUUCUUCUCUCUUCUUCUUCUUUUCUCCUGUUUCUUCUAUUCUCUUUCUUUUCUUUCUUAUAGGAAGAGAGGGAGAGUUUACAGGUGAGAGGGAAGAAGAAAAGACCUUCUCAUCUUCUAUCACUCACAUGAGUGCAAAAUUGCAUAAAAACCCCUCAACAAUGCAUCUCUCCAACACGACCCAAAAUGGGCAUUUUUCGGCUCUGGGGACGCGUCCUUGCGGGUGAGGAGGACCUCGGGUCCCUGAGAGAAACCGCGGUCCUUGGCUGAUGGACCGGUCCCCGAAGGCCAGAACUCAGCCUCAAGGAUUAGCCAAAUCGAAAAAAAAAAAAAAAAAAAAAAAAGAAAAUUUUCACCAUUUUCCACCGUUUCUUCUCUUUUGCCCGCUUUUCCGUGCUCGUCUUGACUCGGGUGAUUCGUCUUCAAAUCGAACCUGAACGACUCUUGCAAACAUGUUUUCCAAAAUUGUUUUUAUCAUACACUUCCGAUCCUCGGGUAAUGCCGGAUUUAGCUCACGGCCCAACAUGGCCUUUCGGCUCCGUUUUAGCGCCUACGCGCACCGAAACGCCCGAAUGCUUCCGGGCCUCACCGAAUUUCACCGGAACCUUUCAAAUGGUCUUCCAACCAAAUGUACACCGUAACUUCAUGAUUUUAGAAGUCCGAUACCUUACAUCCUCCCCUCCUUAAUAAGAGUUUCGUCCUCGAAACUAACUCACCUCAAACCCAAUUCACACCCUAAUUCUCUUUAUUGAGUGACAAGGGGUACAGUGCACUUUUGCAUCUCGGAGUGGCCUUUCGCUCAUUGGAACUAUCCGAAGGCCCACUACGGAGGAUGUGAGACUAAAUUCGCUCACAUUUGCUGCGUGUAAGUCCAAAAGUGCAUUACGGGUCUCCGUCAUUCUUGGUGGUAGCGCAAGUCGAAACUCAUCGACUCUACGCGCUCCAACAUCGUUCUCUAAUUGGCCCACUAAGGCCAAACCACUUCCUUUGAGACCGGGACUACCUGCUAUCCUCAUGGUGUGGAGCUAUCAAGAAUGCACCAAUAGUCAUAUGGCCCACCACCACGACACAGCACACACACGGGUAAGCCCUCUCGAAUCACCUGAGUGUCAACAAAGCGGCGCUCCGCCACUUUGGCUAUCCAAGAGUUCGUAUUUCUCAUUUACGACUCUUCGUCACUUUCGCCAUCCCUUUAGGGGUCACACUCCAAUUCGAUCACCAAUAUCGCUUAGAAGCAAUAUCAUUGGUGCAUCGACCCACUGCGAGUGCUCCAAUCGCAUUUGGAUCUUUGCUCUAUUGAGAGAUGGCCUACUCCGGCACAUCUCGAAUCUUAAUCCACAAAGAGCAUUAUCCUCAAGCUCUCCAACCUCUCCAACAUGACUCAGCCUGCCUGGGCAAAUUUCACGCUCGGGGACCGGUCUCUCCCUGCCUGGGACCGGUCCCAGAGGGACCUCCUCAAUCUCACGUGUUCGGGAACCGGUCCCUCUGGCCUAGGGACCGGUUGCCUCGCGCUUGCCACAGCCCUCAGCCUCGGGGCAACCGGUCCCUCCCUCCUGGGACCGGUCACCGAGAGCAAGCUCGCGUAGACAACGUUCGGGAACCGGUCCCUCCCACCAGGGACCGGUCCCCGAGAGCAAUUCUGCCAAGUGCAGAAUCUUGCACCAUUUGUUCUCGCGGACUCCAUUGCAAUGCACUUUUGGUGCAUUUGACUUCUUCGGCUUUCACGAAGCACCCCCACUCGACAAUUAGUCGAUUUUGAGUGAAGUCCAACUCUCGCAUUUUGAGAAUUUACUUCCCUUGCACCAACUCCUCCACGGAGUUAUCGGCUAAACCGAUUACGUCGGCUUCCACAGGUGGACCAACGGUCACCAACACCACGUAGGCCUACUGCCUAAACCCGUCGCACUACGCAUAGCGUCUCUCGCUCGCAUCGUAGACCCAAUCAUCAUCGGGCGAAAUUCUCAUUGGAGAAUUCGCACACACUCCAACUAGGAGCAACCAAGACCCCCAAACCACGUCAAGUCUUCGGGUUGGGUCACAACCGCACACUCAGUGCAUCAUCGAUUUCACGAUCCAACACGUGGCAUUCCACACUCCAAGGUCUAAGCUCGGACUACCGUCCUGACCAAAACUCUCCGCCCUACCUAUAGGUAUUGGGCCGCUGCCUCUCGCAGCUGACUGCGCCUGCCAAAUGGGUUGAGGCUCCACAGUCCACGAAGGGUCCAGGCACGGGUCGUCCCCAAGCGCUACCCGCUAACGUCGUCCUACACGACACACUCUAUAGAGCUACGCACUCUACCGGCUCCUAGGCACCUAGUGCGAGCCACCAGCUCUACGAGUGAUCUAUGGCCCGCUUCACACUUAGCCCUGCUAAAGUGCUACUGCCAAUUCACUCAACCAGCUGAAUCGAAACUGCACUUCACGCGUAACUACACCCGAGCGCUCUACGUCUCUACAGCGUCUCGCACGAAGUCUAGCAUCAGGCAACUUAGCCUAUGCACGCCAGCCACACGAGCAAUAACUCGUCCACCUCAGUUCGAGGUACUACUAGGCCCACAGGCCAAGUUCGGCGCUAAUCGACCAAUUUUGCAACAGUGGUUCAUCACCAUUGUUCGAUCUAUCGAGUCCACGUCCGAAAUACUCUUGGGAUAUCCGGGUGUCCCCAAACAUCAAGGCUCAACUCUUGCAAUAUCUAAUCUAUUGCAUCGAGAGUUCUCUUAUAUUUUCGAUUUCCAUUACGAGCCUCGUUUCUUAUCCAAAAUCACCACUAGCCAUUUGCUAGUGCCCAAUGGCUCUCUACCUGCCCCAGCAGGCGCCAUACUCUCAUCCUGCUAGCAUACUCGGGUACCUACUUACCCGACCACUCGGUCCCUACUAUGUAAUGUAGUAAUAGUAGUAACUGACCAUAUGAUGAAUGCAUGCUAUGCAUCAACUUGAGAUCAUGCAAAAAAAUAUGCUUGCUCAAUUAAUUCAUACCUGCUACGACGACGUCGACAACAGCAGGCACCGCAACUCGGGUCGCUUAUCCAUGCCCACUUGGCGCUCGUUGCGAACCCUCUAAUUGCAACGUCCUCAACGGCUGCUCUCCCGACCAUGCCGUAGGUGGCAUACCUGCAGGCUGUCCCAGAGAGGAAUAGGCCGUCGUUAGCGUCAAGUCCUGGCUAUCGCCUUUGCGGACACUCGUCCCGCACAUGGCCCAGCAGCCCAUACUUGAAGCACUUGCCCUCACGCUGUUCACACUGCCGUGGGCAAUGAGGGCCCCCACAAAUCACACAUCUCGCCGAGAACCGAAUGUGGUAAGUCCCCGGAGCUCGGGAUCGCGAGAGCGAACUUAUCGAAGUUCGUUGGGAACUUGACUGACCAUCAUGUCCACUCACUGGAUGUCCUUUCCCCUUUCCUUGUAGUAUGCCUCGCGCUCCUCCCGUAGGGAUUCCUCACCUUGUUCUAUCCACAAGGCCCGAUCCCGGACGUCGACAGAAGUCUGCAACUUAUGUGCAAGCACAAUCUUGCAAAGGUCUGGCUGAAGUCCACGCACAAAGUAGUCGGCCAUGUCCUUGUCAUCCCGCGCUACGUUCGGGACGCAACGCACGACACGGGAGAAUUCCCGCUCGUAUCGCCUCACAGUGCUGUUUACCUGCCACAGCUUCAGAAACCCUUCUGAAGCUUCCUCGCUUACCGUCAGGGAAGUGAACGGAGAAUACCAAUUCCCGAACUUUUCCCAGACCAUAGGAGGGAUACCAGGCAAUCGAUUCCGUCGAAUGCCUUUCUACCACACCCUUGCCGACUGCUUACAAGCAAUGUACGGCUAGGUGUGCCCUGCCUCACACCACAACGCAUAGAUCCCCCAAAGGGAGUCUUGCUCUCAGUUCGUCACCAGCAACUUGCCGGCAUUGACUAAUCACCAAUCCCCUUUAGGUAGGCGACAUACCACCACGACUUAUGCGUGCUGGGUGACUCCUCUGACCUGCGUCCUGGUUUCUACUAUACUAAUGUGUAAAUAGUAGUAAAAGACCACAAGCAAAUGCAUACAAUUGCUCAAACUACUUCAUGAUAGAAUGUAUGAUUGCUUUAAUUAAAUCAUACCUGCGGUAAUGUAACACACUGGACCUUUGCAAAUUGCGAGGUUCGAGUGUUUGGAUGUAUUUCGAGCUUUUCCACACUUGGUGGAGGGUUGUAAAAUGUUUCCCGACCCGAAAAGUUCGAAAUCUGGAACCUUGGACAAGUCCUGAGAGUUUUUACUCUCGGGGACCGGUCCCUGGAAGGAGAGACCGGUUCCCCCAGUGAGCAGUGUUGAGGCAGCCUGAGGCAACCGGUCCCUGGCAGUCGAGACCGGUUCCCGAGCGCGUUCUCGCAGUGAGAGACCGGUCCCGCGCAGGGAGAGACCGGUUCCCGAACGCUGGUUUUUCGAGUUCGCAGCGAGAGACCGGUCCCUCUGGGCGAAAACUGCCUAGUCCGGGCUGAUGUAAUUUUGGGUUUUUGAGGGGCCUAACUGGAUUUUGUUACCUUAGAGGCUAUAGGCAGCCUCUCCUCCCCUCUCACUCUCAUUUUCUCUCAACCCUUUGCAUUCUAGAGAGAGAAGAAGAGAGGGAGAAGGAGAAGAAGGAGAAGAAGAGGAGAAGGGCUUGCUUGGAGCACCAUCUUCUUCCUCAUUUCCCACCUUUGGAGGUCUUGGAGCUUGCUUUUGGAGCUUUGUGGUGGAUCAAUUUCAUCUAGAAGAUUUUGAGCUUGGAUUGGAGCAUCUCUAGAGUAGUGUGGAAAGUUCUGCCUCUAAGAUUUUAGUUUGGAGCUUUUUUGCUUGUUUUAUACCCCUAAAUGAGAUUUAGGAUUUGAUUUUGCGAUUUUGAACUCUUGAGGGCUUUUUGGGGCCUUAAUGGAUUGGUUUAGAACCUUCCUAGGGCUUGAUUGGUAAGGGUUUAGCCUCUUUUUGGAGCUUUGGAUAGAGAUUAUCUAACUAUUGAGGUGAGUUUUGCCCUCUUUUUGUCCUAGGUUUAAUGUUUGUGAUGUUAUGAGAUGUGUUGUAAUGCCCUCGUAUCUCUUCUGCGUCACUUUUAGGGUAUUUUGAGCUGGGGGACAACUUUGGCUUCGGCGAAACGGAGGCCCUAGCGACGGUUCGGUGGGUUUGGCUAGCAUACAAUAUGAGAAUGCUCCAUAUUGGUGUUAAUAUGUUUCGCAAAGUUGAAAAUUUUGCGUUUUCAUUGGGUAAAAUGUAUUUAUUAUGAAUUCUAUGGCUUAACAUGGCAUUGAUUAUGUGUAGUAAAUUUGGGCUCGCUAUAGUAGGAGAGCAUGAUGUGUGGCUAGCAUUUAGUUGCGAUGUGAAAAUUAUAUCCUAUUAUGAAUGAACUUGCUUCAUGUCAUUACACUAUAUUACAGAUGUUGACAUUAGGAUUUUUGGAAGCUAGAGAGGUUAGGGACUUAGAUGAUAUGUGAGAAUUGGGGCCGAAUGUCGAUGAAGUGGUCAUCGGGGCCGGGCGAUAGUGAGUUUAAUGUUAAAGUCUUAAUUGAAAUGAUUAGUUGUGGGUUAGUGUAUAAAGAGAGCACUAAGCAGUGUGUGUUGGGAUUCACAUUAUUACUUUGGACUAGACCUUGGGAUGUCGGAGCCUCUUAUCCAUAUUAGAGAAUGAGGAUGGUGUUUGAGACGUGACCUUUGCUGUUGCCAUUUGUGCUCCAUUGCACUAUGUUGUGAGGGUCGCUCCUACAAGCCGGCAUCGGGUUACUAUGGAACUUAUGUUCGCUCGUUGCACGGUAUCGAGAAGCCUACGGGGUCGAGUGGGACAGACACAUUCAUGUGUGGUAAUGUCGGGUACAACAGGGCACGUUAGGCGGACACAGCUGGGACUACCUUGGGUAGUUCCUGAUUUGGAAAUGGAAAUCGACACGGGUUCGAGAAUGAACAUCACUUACUAGAUAGGUUUAGUAGUUGGAUUACUUUACAUGCAAUAGCAUUAGGGUUGAGACAUAUAGUAUACUUAGUUGCAUGAUAGAACUUCUUACGUCGUGUCAUUGACAAUAGGUUAAAACAUUAAACUAGUGCCAUUCGGUACGAAUGGUAAUGAUAGGAUAGAUGUACAACAUUUUUGACAUCAGCUUAUGCUGAGGACAUUGUAGUAUUACGUUUUACUUAUGCUCUCCUUCUCCUUCCCAGCGAGUAUUUACAUGCUUUUUAUCACUUAUGCCUAUUGCAUUGUUACCUUAUUCGGUUGGGGCCUAGUGGAGCUGAGCUCGAGGUCAGUAAUGCCACAUGGACGAAACUAUAAAUUAUAGUUCUCACGCCCUCUUCUCUCGAUGUUUUUCAGAGCUUCACGCCACGGGAGGCCAGGGACGCGGAAAGGGGGUAUCACUCGGGCAUAGCGUGCUACGAGGGAUCGUUCGAUAGGUGGUUACCUCUGUGUUUCUUUUGUGCAGGAGGUGAGAGUUGUACCCAUGAUGUAUAGAGACCACCAUUUUUGUACUAGAAGCAGAUAUUGUUAUACUUAUGUUCACUUUUAUUGUUAGUUUGCUUUUUCCGUAUUGUAUAUAGAAUCAUACUGCACUGAUAUCACUAGUUGUUGCUCGUUCGUUUCUUCUACUGUCCGCUUUUACUCUAGCGCCUUAUAUGUGUAGACAUAUGGCGGGGUCUGGAAUGCUCCGGGGAGGGCCUCUGCCGCGUCCCGGGGCGUGACAGUAAACAUCACCAACAGCAGAAGUUCCUCGACGUGGGGCGUAUCCAGGUCCGGCUUGGCGCCUCCUGCUGAAUCCUCCAGCUGCUCGACACCCCCAGUCUCCAGACUGUCACAGGCUGAAAUCCACCGAUCUGUCCCGGAAGAGGUAAUGUCGACGAUGUCGGCCAGGAGUCGGUCCAUCGUCCAAGGGGCAUCAUAUUUCACGUGGCCUAGACUGCCACAACGAAAACACCUCCUUUCCGCCAGCACACACCGCCGCCGCCUGGUGGGAUCCUUCCACAAAUCACACCACCCCGCAGACACGGCGGUAGAGACGGGACUCCACCAAACUGUCGCUGAACUCUGGAGGCAGAUGAACUGAUGGGAGUGCCCACUUCCUUCCGCGCCACUGACGGGCAUUAUUCCCGCUCGACCACACUCUGAAGCACGCCCGCCGAUCCCUAUCAUUUCCCCGCGGCCGGAUGUCCUCCACGCACAGAUCACGCACUUACGCAUAGGGUCCUUGUCUAAUGGACGCCGCUUUUGGUACUUCGGGGCCGUUUUGGAACUAAGACUGUUUCCCCGAAGCCACCACGAGGCACACCACACGUUUCUUCACUCCACUCUUCUUGAACGCCUUGCGUUCCUUAUUCAUUCCCAGCUGCCUGAUCGAGUAUCAUAGGACCCGAAGCGCAAGAGGAACACUAGCGGCGGGGAUGCGCCCAGCCGGAGCUACCAAAAUGCUCACGCCCUCAGGCAAACUAGUCAGUAAAGAUGCGCAUUAGAGCGCGGCGGACCGAAGGGCGCGAUGGGCGGCACCAUGGCCUUCAGUAUGUCGUACUGGCCGCCGUCGCCACGUUGUCGCCUCAAAAGCUCUGUCGGAGCGUCAAUCUGACUUCCUUGGGUUGAAUUCACGCCGAUAAGCGUAGUCAUCUGCGCUCGUAAUUCUUGCACUUUUCAGAUCACAGACUGCUCGGGCCACCUCGGGCGAGGGUUCAGAGUGGUGUCUGCCGGGGGGCGUCUUCUUUGGUGCCAUAGCUCCUUGAAGCGCAACAACUUGGUUAAUCACCUUAACCCGUUAAUCUCGUCCAACUUAUACGGACAACCUGCUCGGAAUCAGCGCGAAAGUCAUACAAGGGUGCCUUUUCAUCACUAGAGUUUUCAUGUUGCUUCGCGCGGCCAACAUGAACACACUUGGGCGAGAAUUACACCACACUUUGAGUCUACCUCUAAUAUCCAUCUCGAGGUUACAACUUGACCCAAUCAAUCAACCUUUCCGCCACAACCAAGGUUCACGUCACUCACGCACCUAUAACCUUAGGUCACCGCUCUAGGCGUUCCUAGGUUCAUCCUAAACUUCUCUCUUUACUUGCUCUUAUUUGCUCUUGAUACCACUUUAUUGUACGCCCCGCGGACGCUACAAUUUGGUUCGGCCCUGGGACGUCGGAACAGAGGCCCCGGGACGGACAAGCACCUCCCUAGUCGCCCAGAGCUUAACGACAGCAAGAUUGUGCUACAACAAGUCCUCCAGAGAAAAUAACUUGAAUAACAUUACACCAAUCGGAUAAACUACAACGUAGGCAACAAUCAGUGCAAAACAACAAGAGCCAAGAUACAAGCUUAUAGAACAUACAGUAUGAUAAGAGAGAGCAUUACUAUUCUAUUACAUUUCAUUCAGCCUUUAUAAUACAAUUUGAUUAUACAUUUGAACUUCAAACAUAAUAAAAGUUACAUCUUCCAAAACUAUAAACAUGUAGUUUACAUUUAUCUCAAAAUAGCUCACAACCUUAUACUCAUCUACUCUCAAGCAUAAAGGUGACCUCUAAUGCAGAAAUAGGAAAUUAGACUAAUGCCAACUAGGGCCCUAAGCCCUUACCGCAUCCUCGCUCGUGUGAAUCCGCGCCGUGCCCUGCUAGUUAAAUGGGGGUGAGAACACUAAUUUCCUUAGUUCCAGGGGUUCGGGCCGCGGACUCCGCCGAUCUGCCCACUAUGGUCCAAGUCGGGCACAAGUAGAUAUCGAAUACGAUAGAUAGAUAAGAAAAGCGGUAAAUGACAGAAGUCAAACUUACCUCUACUAUGCCCAAUCAUAAAUAUAUGAAUGAUGUACCAUGAAAUAGGUAAGCAACUAACCUGUUAUCAUGUCUCAAAGGUGAAGCUAUUCACUCGUUCAUUAACCUCAUUUACUUGUUCAUUAAUUCAUGGGCUUACCCGAAGGCUCGCCUACAGCUCACUAGCCAUCUCGACACGUAGGAGAUUCACUCGCACUACGGACCCGAGACCGUCUGCGGGCCAUAUAGGCAAUCCUUGGCGUGACCAACAUCCGUAGCGCACUACUUGUUGGGGGUUCAUCACAAGAUUUAACAGACCGUGAGCAUGAUCCAAUCCUCUAAGCUCAGGAUAACCCUGUCCUCUAGGGUCACAAUCCUCAUAUAGUCCAUAGGUUUCAUAUACACUACGACUCACAGUGUCAUCGUUCUUUUGUUUACUAUCAACUAGAUGCCAUCGUUCUUUACAAGUUUCCAAUGCAAUAGCAAUACAUUACUAAAUUCCCAUCCACACUUAUCAUCUCAUUAUAGGGUUCCACUCACAUAUAUAAACCUCAAGCAUGCUAGAUAUAAGUACUAAGCCCAUACAUUAUUCUACAAAGAACAUGCAAGGUAUAGAACCAAACCCUCAUUUAUCACCCUAUAAUGCAAGAUGUCAAUAUGCAAUUUGAUCAAUAUAAACUUAGACAUAAAAGGGAGCCCGAUUGGUUCGGGAGGGACCACACCCACCUUUUAUCUAGACGUUCGAUGCUCGUCUGUCACUCACAGAUCGGCCUCCUGCGGCGCACGCCGCACGGCUCGACCCAACUCACGCGCGACUGCCAAAUGACCUCCUAUCCGCGAUCCGUCUAUUCUGGAGUUUAUUCCCCGACACCACGAUGCUACGAUUCCAUUUCCAUGAUUUUUGGAAGCUUUCGCUGCGAGCUGCGUCAAUCUGUACCAGAAUCGGCCUCUUCUUCGAUAUCUUUGUAACGGCUUGACGGAUUGCCAAACCGUCGCUUCCAACGCGUUCAGUGACCUAUCAAUUAGGUUUAUAUACAACCAAUUUAGAUCAAACCCAUCUAUUCGCAAAAAUAGCAUUUUGAGCCCUAGAUUUGCUACUAUGCAAAAAUCCACCAUUAAACCCUUGGAUCUAAGCAUAAUCCAUCUCAUUAGCAUCUAGGAAGGCUACUAAACCCAUUUCUAAAGCAUUUAAAUCACACCCUAGAGAUCUACCAUUGAAGGGGUUAGCAAGCUUACCUCUUAAGCUAGCACAACGGAGAGGAGAAGAUGAGAAGAUGAAGCUCCACCUUGUUUGCUUCCUUCUUCACCAUCUUCUUCUUCUUCUUCCUCCUCUUCUUCUUCUCUUCUCCUCUUUCUUCUUCUCUUUCUUUUCUUUCUAGAGAGAGAGAGGGAGAGUUUUAGGGUGAGAGGGAAGAGAGAAAAGACCCUUCUCUCUCUUCUAUACACUCACAUGAGUGCAAAAUUGCAUAAAAACCCCUCAACAAUGCAUCUCUCGCAACAGCCCAAAAUGGGCAUUUUCGCGCUCGGGGACCGGUCCUUGCGGUGAGAGACCGGUCCCUGAGAGACCGGUCCUUGGCUGAGAGACCGGUCCCCGAAGGUCCAGAACUCAGCCUCAAGGACUUAGCCAAAUUUCAGCCUUUUUCACCGUUUCUUCUCCGUUUUCGCCCGUUUUCGCUCGUUUGACUUCCGAUUCGUCUCAAAUCGAACCGAGACUCUUCAAACAUGUUUCCAAACAUGUUUUCAUCAUCUUUCCAUCCUCGCUAAUGCCGGAUUUAGCUCACGGCCCAACAUGGCCUUUCGGCUCCGUUUUAGCGCCUACGCGCACCGAAACGCCCGAAUGCUUCCGGGCCUCACCGAACUUCAACGGAACCUUUCAAAUGGUCUUCCAACCAAAUGUACACCAUAACUUCAUGAUUUUAGAAGUCCGGUACCUUACAAUAACAGUAGCCAAGUAGGCCACACAGCCUCUACUAAUCAACUGCCUAGUUCGAGAGGAGCUAAUCGUCAUCGCAAACAGCGAACUCUGGCAUCCUCGGUACACAACCUCCGCCUGCCCCGGCUCUCUAAAUGUCACAGUUCGAUCCUUGCAAUCGAUAGUGGCGUAGUACUUAGUCAACCA